rnacentral:rRNA from 1 species
GACGAACGCUGGCGGCGUGCUUAACACAUGCAAGUCGAACGGAAAGGCCCUGCUUUUGUGGGGUGCUCGAGUGGCGAACGGGUGAGUAACACGUGAGUAACCUGCCCUUGACUUUGGGAUAACUUCAGGAAACUGGGGCUAAUACCGGAUAGGAGCUCCUGCUGCAUGGUGGGGGUUGGAAAGUUUCGGCGGUUGGGGAUGGACUCGCGGCUUAUCAGCUUGUUGGUGGGGUAGUGGCUUACCGAGGCUUUGACGGGUAGCCGGCCUAAGAGGGUGACCGGCCACAUUGGGGCUGAGUUACGGCCCAGACUCCUACGGGAGGCAGCAGUGGGGAAUAUUGCACAAUGGGCAGAAGCCUGAUGCAGCAACGCCGCGUGCGGGAUGACGGCCUUCGGGUUGUAACCCGCUUUCGCCUGUGGCGAAGCGUGAGUGACGGUAAUGGGUAGAGAAGCACCGGCUAACUACGUG